ACAGCAGUAGCCGCGGUAAUACGAAGGGGGCUAGCGUUGCUCGGAAUUACUGGGCGUAAAGGGAGCGUAGGCGGACAUUUAAGUCAGGGGUGAAAUCCCAGAGCUCAACUCUGGAACUGCCUUUGAUACUGGGUGUCUUGAGUGUGAUAGAGGUAUGUGGAACUCCGAGUGUAGAGGUGAAAUUCGUAGAUAUUCGGAAGAACACCAGUGGCGAAGGCGACAUACUGGAUCAUUACUGACGCUGAGGCUCGAAAGCGUGGGGAGCAAACAGGAUUAGAUACCCCGGUAGUCCCUGUCUCUUAUAA
rnacentral:rRNA from 1 species